AGGGUCACAUCCACAGCGUAUGGAAGUUCCCAAGCUAGGAGUCAAAUCAGAGCUGCAGCUGCCAGCCUAUGCCAGAGCCACAGCAACUCCAUAUCCAAGACUUGUCUGUGACCUACACCAAAAUUCACAGCAACCUUGGAUCCUUAACCCACUGAGCAGAGCCAGGGAUUGAACCCACAUCCUCAUGGAUACUAGUCGGGUUCAUUACCACCAAGCCACACAAGAACCCCAGGAUUUUUAAAAAUUUUUAUUGUAAUUACAGAAUUAUACAUGAACUUAUAUUCAUUUCAAGCAAUCUAAUCAAUCUUCAAAAUUGAUCUCAAAAGACUUCCUAUUAAGGCUUCCCCCAUCUUCUAAUUAGACAUUAUUGCUUCUUCUUUGAACCACCAUUGCAUUGGUUUUAGUUGAUUAUGACUGUGGCCCAGUAAUUCUCAAAUCUUUGUGUACAUAAAGAACACCUGGUGUUCAUUGCUGGGCCCCACCCCAAGUUUCUGAUUCAGGAAAUCUGUGUGAAGUCUAAGCUUUUGCAUUUAUGACAAUUUCCCUGGGAUGCACAUACUGCUAUUGUGGGGACCUACACUUUGAGAAACAUUGUAGGAGCAGAGGCAGAUACAACAGGAUACCCACCCCCAGGAGCCAUGUCUCUUCUAUUCCUGCCUCAGCCUCUGCACAAUGUUAAUUAAUCCAAGACUAGAGACUAUUCACCCAAGCUGUACCGUUCACACUAUAUCAUGUCCCUGGCACAUAGCUGGUCCAAAGGGCAGACCAGCUGUUCAUGCCAGACCAACUGGAACCCUCCCCUAUUAUUUUUCAAACAUGGAACCGUUAAGAUGUAUGUGUGGAACCUUCCUGGAAUGGAAUAUAGCCAGCCUUAGAGAAAAACCCAGAUGAAAUACAGAGUCCCAAAGGUGUUUGUCUGAGCCUGUAGUAAUUUGGAUACUUUUAGAUGAAUGUAGUGGACAUUGAACUCAAACUAUGAACAAAAUAAUUUUUUUUUAAAUUGUCUCACACAACCUUAGAUAAGGUGGGCCCUAGGACUGGCGGUUACAACUAAUGAACAAUUUCAUCAAAGACCUGGGUUUUUUCCAUCACUCUGCCCUUACUACUUGGAAUAUCAUGAUUGGAAUAGACGAAUCAUUGGGGUAGAACAUUAAAGGAUGUAAUACAAGGAAUUAGGCAAAGGCGGUGAGUAUAACCAGCAGAGACUCAGGCUGUGUCAUGGAGUCAUGACACAAAGAUCUCCAAAGAACCCAGGAAUUAUCCUUCUGGAAAUUUGUUGUUCAAUUCUUCUUUUGAUCCUGCGACCGUCCACCCACCGCAAUAUACUUCCAAUUGUUAUUAGGUUUGGUUUUGGGUUUGCUUUUUGCUUUGCUUGCCUUGGGUUGCUGUUCAUUCUAAUCAGAGCCCUAGCUGUUAUCUUAGUCUACCUUGGAGUACCUCAUUUUUUGUCAGCAGUUUCCAUUCGCCCUUAAAAUAACCAUAACCCUAUCCCCCUCUGCAAAUUACAAGCCUAUGGCUUCGGCUGGGGGCCUACCCUUCGGCUGGGGUCCUACCCUUGCCUCAGAAGAUGGAGCAGAUAACCUAGACCAAAGCUCAUCAGCAUGCCAUUUCUUCUCCCCUACCUAUGAUGGGUUGAGAAACGAGCAUGUUUCCUGUUUCAGCCAGUGAUGCAUCAUGAGGCUUUUGCUCAUAAUCCUAGUAAAGAAACUUCUUCUAUUUCCUAUUAGAGAGGAGCCAGAUUGGUAGCCCCAGGAGCUGCUAGGAACCAUCUGGCAACCACAAGGGUAAAGCCUACCUGAGAGUCAACCCAGAAAGAGAAAAACUGGCCCCUGAGCCCCUGGCCCCUGUUGUGCCUACUGUCUUUGCUUAAGCUGUAUGGAAGCAGAAUUUUUACCACUUACAAACAGAAGUGUCCUAACUCAUAAGUCCUCUUCCCACUCUUCCUGCUGCAGUUAGAUCAUGUGAGAGCGGAAAGUGGCUCUGGUCUGCAGCGGUGGCCCUGGUAGCCACAUUAGUGCCUGGCAUACAGUAGGGAUCGAAGCAGAGUUUCUCAGAUGGGCUUCAGGCUGCCUUCAUAAGCACUUCUGAUAGAAUCCCAGAGCUCAGCAUAGCUACGUGAGCCUCUCUCUCUUCCCUGAGCAGGUACCAAUGCAAGGCCAAGAACCUCCUGAGUCAUCAGCAGAGAUGUACAGGUUUUUGUCCCAAGGGAAGCAGCAAUGUGGGUUAUGACUAAGAGGUCAACUUGUAGGUUCCAGUUGGAGGAACUGUAGAGGCCAGUUUCACCCACCUCACUGCCCCACUCCCACCCAAAGUAGACCCUGAAAUGCAGACGUUUACACAGAGCUGUUUAUUUUGCAGCUAAGAGACCCUGCUUAUAUAAUUUGCACGAGGGCCAAAUGUUAAACUUGAGGUUGAGGACACGAGGAUGGCCAUGCACCUAAAGAAAGUAGUUUUUUCCAUUUAGCCAGACUCCUGUUGUUUCCCAGGAUUCCCAUCAGGAUUCCCACUUUCCAGCGGAGCUGCAUUCUGACAGAGCCUGAAGCUCAGAGCAGAGAGAAUUACUGGGACAAGCUUGAUCUCUCUUGGACACCAAGGAAUCUCACAGCCCUCUCCUUUGGGCUCUGACCUAAGACUCCUGCAGCCUGUUUGCAGGAGACUAGGGGCCUCUUGAUUUUCAAUAUGUCCUCACCCACCUAAAAUGCCCAGCACCUGCAGAACUUAACUUUCUAAAAACACAUUAGCCUAGAAAGGAGCACUCAGCUUCUUCUUUCAGGGGCCUGACCUUGAGGUGACUGUCUUCCAGAGCGCAGAACAGCAUGCUUUGUCCUCAGCAUCUUAGCACCCUGGGGCCCUGGGUUGCUUUAAUUACUACCUCUACUGCUAGGAGAUGGGCCAGCUUAACCAUACCAAUAGGAACUGAGAGGAUGAGAGCAGAACUGAUGAACCUGCUGCAGUUUUGCUAGUUGAUAUUAGUGUGGACUGAGCCCAAGGCCCCCUGUGUCCCAGCUCUGCAGACCCUACUUGUUAGCAGGAGAUCAUCAGGAUAUACUAGUCUCACCUUUUAGACCCUCUUGUGACCUGGAUCCUUGUCUCUCUUCAGCCCAUCUCUCCCCAUAUCCCCAUGAUCCAGACCCCAGUGAUAACCGUCUUGGAGUUGACCCCCUUGGAGCAAGUUGUAUCACUGCCCCAUGCCUUUGCCCAAACUGUUCCUCUGCCCAGAUUGUCCUCUGACCUCUAUCCUAUUCAGAGCUCUCAGCCUUCAAUGUUCAGCUCAAACGCCAUCAUCCUCUCUAUCCAUCUCUCUCUUUUUCUUCAUCUCACCCCCUCCCCCCACCCCAUCAAUAAUCUUUCAGUCCUGAAUGCUCAUUGGUAGCUUGAGGCUGUGUUGUUUAGCCUCACCAUCUUUGCCUGGCUAGCUCCUAUACAUUCUUUAUUGUUUGUUCAGGUUAUCAUCUCCUUGAAAAAGUUUACCCUGAUGUUCCCAGGCUGGACUGAGUGCCCCAUCAAGCUUCCGCCUUGUCUUAAAAUUAUGUGUAUGUCUUUUCCCCACUAUCUUUGACGGCCUCCAUGGCAGGGACAGAGUCACAGUCAUAUGCAUGUCCCCAGAGUCCAAGACAGGGUCUGCCACAUAAUGGGGAUUACUUCCAUCAGCUUAGAUGGGCUGAGGUACCUGCUGGUUGGGACACUUUCUCAGAGCUACAUCUCAGGGAGCAGUUGCCCAGGGUAAAGGAGAAGAUGUUUACCCCAUCCACUGCACCUCUCUGGAGAGAAGGGAAGGCAGAAUCAGCGAGCCUGAUACAGCAACAACUCAGUCUACUACUCUGGCUCCUCCCUGGCAUUGUGGGAGUUUGUCCUUCCAGCUUUCAAAAAUUCAAAUAAAGUAGCAUACACCAACCAAGGCACUAGGUAGGGAUCAGGGAGACAUAAAUAAGGCUUAUCCUAUCCCCAAGGUCACCUAGUGGCACACACGAACACGUGCAGUACACAGUCCCUUGGAGUAGAAACGAGGUGGCACCAGCUCUGCCCAGAGGAGCUGACGAAGGCUUCGCAGAAGGAGCCAUCCCUGAACUGGGCCCUAGAGACUGAGGAUGAAUCCAGGCGAAGAUGGGAACUAGCGUAGAGCAGUCCAGGCAGAGGGACCAGCCUGGGCAAAGGCUCAAAGGCUGGAAGGCUGGAAUGCACUGGCAAGUGGGUGGGCGAGCACAUGUCUCCCCGGCUGGUGUCAGAGGCUUGGUGGAGGAUGAGGGGUGACAUGAGGACAGAUGGUAGUUUGCAGCCUGCUUGGGGGGAGGGAGGCCUUGAGCACUCACCGAAAGGUGAGGCUUUUGUUUGAUAAGCACUGAAGAGCCUUGAGGGUUAUUAAGCCGAAGAAUGAAAACUAGCAGCCAUGUUUAGGGUGAGGAGGUGUAUUAGAAAGUAUUGCUAUUGUCGCUAAGGAUGAUGAGGGCCAGGUCAGGCGCUGCGCUAGAGAAGGAAAGGUAGGGAUGGCUUAAGAGAUGUUAUGGGGGUGGGAGUACAGGAGCCAAGCCUGUUCAGCAUCCCGAAUCCUUCCAAGCCCUCAGCUCCCCACCACCGGCUCCUAGCUCCCCAGCAUCCUUCUUCCCUCCUUGGCUGUUAGCUUCUAAGGCAAGGAGAUUCCAAAUGCUGACUACAUCGUCCUUGGCCCAUCUCAGCUUCUGGCAAAUGAAUUGGUGUCGUUCCCCAGAAAGCUUUUCUUGAACUUCAUCAAGUUAGCAAAGAGGAGAAGUGUUAACAGUAUGAUCUGUUGAGUCUCAAAUUCUAAUCCCAGCCCUAACACUCACCCAGCUUUUUCACUCCCUGAAGUUCUGCCAAAAUCAAAAGAGAAGGUCUGUGCCAGACACAAGUAAUUUCAGCUGAACAAGCACUUGGAGGGUCACAGAGCACUGCUGUGCCUGCAGAAUGUUUUGCCGCUUCAGAACGGGCUUGGGGCGGCUGGUGGCAGUGCCUGUGGGUGACAUGGUCAAAAGGAGCAUGAAGACUAUUUUUCUUUGGUAAAUAAAUGUUCCACUGUUGAUGCUGCAGUAAAUCAGAAGUUCCAAGAAGACAGGUGCCAUUCAUUUCUUAAAAGGAUGGAGGGAGAGAGAAGGCACGAUUCUGGACA
rnacentral:lncRNA from 1 species